UGAGGGGUGGGCGGGAGCGGCCGUUCCGUGAGGGCAUCCCCGGCAGAGCGCCGGGCUGGGUUCUGACUGACCCAGGGUUUGGUUUGGGGCUUUUUUUUUCCCCUCGGUGCUGUGAGGCGCAAAGUCCUCCCGGGAAAACGUAGUCCCAGGCUGGGGUCUGCCCGUCCGGAGAGGAGCAGCUCCGUGGCUGAACACUCCUGGCUCCCUCAGCCUGGCUUCCUUAGCCCCCAGAUGAUUUUUGUAGCCUUCCUCUGGACCCACUCCACUAAGUCCCUGUCCUUCCUCUAUUGAGGGCUCCAGAGCUGGAUGCUCCAGGUGAGGUCUUACCAGAUCAGCAUCAACCAGGGCAUGACCAGCAGAGAUAAAGAAGUCAUCAUCCAUCUCUACUCAUCACUUGUCAGGCCACAACUGGAACACUUGUCUUCUGUUCUGUGCAAAAAAGGUGUGGACAGGCUGGAGAGGGCCCAGAGAAGAGCCACAGACAUGAUCAAAGGCUUGUGAAACCUGGUGCAGGAGGGAAGGCUGAGAGAACUGGAGUUGUGCAGCCCAGAGGAGGAGACCUUAUCACUGUGUUCCAGGACUUGUAAGGCAGCUCUAAAGAAGGGUAUUCCACUUUUAUAAGGAGUCAUCUGGAAAAGACAAGGGGUAAUGGUUAAAGGAAAACCAAGCCAGUUCCAGAAAACCCUGAAAGAUGUGAGGCCACAUUUUUCCAAGGGAAAUGGAAGCUGAUAG